GAUCAUGGCUCAGGAUGAACGCUAGCUACAGGCUUAACACAUGCAAGUCGAGGGGCAGCAGGAAUCUAGCUUGCUAGAUUGCUGGCGACCGGCGCACGGGUGAGUAACGCGUAUCCAACCUUCCCCAUAGUAGAGGAUAGCCCGGCGAAAGUCGGAUUAAUACUCUAUGUUGUAUUUUGAGGACAUCUGACGAAUACCAAAGAUUGAUCGCUAUGGGAUGGGGAUGCGUCUGAUUAGGUUGUUGGCGGGGUAACGGCCCACCAAGCCGACGAUCAGUAGGGUUCUGAGAGGAAGGUCCCCCACAUUGGUACUGAGACACGGACCAAACUCCUACGGGAGGCAGCAGUGAGGAAUAUUGGUCAAUGGGCGAGAGCCUGAACCAGCCAAGUAGCGUGCAGGACGACUGCCCUAUGGGUUGUAAACUGCUUUUAUAGGGGAAUAAAGUCCACUACGUGUAGUGGUUUGUAUGUACCCUAUGAAUAAGGACCGGCUAAUUCCGUGCCAGCAGCAGC
rnacentral:rRNA from 1 species